GCAAAACAUGAUGAACUGUAUUUUUAAGAAUGAUAUCUAAUGUAGCCUCAAAAAAAAGAAAGGAAUGAUAUUUAAUGCAUAUAUUCAAUCAAGACUGAAUGUGAACUAUGGAAAGAGUCAUCUAGCAGUUAAUAUUACCUGUACAUUUAUUUCUGUUUUGAGUAAAUCAUUUCUGUGAAAGUCAAUGUGACUAAUUUUUGAAAGAAUGCUACCAGAAAAUUCUUAAUGCUGAAUAUAUGUGUAUAUUGUUCUUUCUAGUUUCCUGAGUUUACAGUGUAUACUAG
rnacentral:misc_RNA from 1 species